rnacentral:rRNA from 1 species
UACGGGGGGGGCAAGCGUUGUUCGGAAUUACUGGGCGUAAAGGGCUCGUAGGCGGCCAACUAAGUCAGACGUGAAAUCCCUCGGCUUAACCGGGGAACUGCGUCUGAUACAGGAUGGCUUGAGGUUGGGAGAGGGAUGCGGAAUUCCAGGUGUAGCGGUGAAAUGCGUAGAUAUCAGGAGGAACACCUGCGGUGUAGACGGCUUUCUGGACCAUUGCUGACGCUGAGACACGAAAGCGUGGGUAGCAAACAGG